GGUCCCAAGGGUUGGGCUGUUCGCCCAUUAAAGCGGUACGCGAGCUGGGUUCAGAACGUCGUGAGACAGUUCGGUCCCUAUCCGUCGUGGGCGUAGGAAAUUUGAGAGGAGCUGUCCUUAGUACGAGAGGACCGGGAUGGACAUACCUCUGGUGUACCAGUUGUCGUGCCAACGGCAUAGCUGGGUAGCUAUGUGUGGACGGGAUAAGUGCUGAAAGCAUCUAAGCAUGAAGCCCCCCUCAAGAUGAGAUUUCCCAACUUCGGUUAUAAGAUCCCUCAAAGAUGAUGAGGUUAAUAGGUUCGAGGUGGAAGUAUGGUGACAUGUGGAGCUGACGAAUACUAAUCGAUCGAAGACUUAAUCAA
rnacentral:rRNA from 1 species